GAAAAAAAAACAUAUGGCCCAUGAGCACGAAGAAGAAGACGAAGAGUAAUUCGAUGGGCCGUGGGUUCUCGUCUUCUUGAAUCUUAUUUUUCAAUUGCACAACCAACCUUCGCCUUUUACCAUAAUUACGAAAUUACCCUUUCUUGACACUUCCUCUUUCUUCUUCAUUUAAUUUUCUCUUUCUAAACGGGAUUUACAAAUUAUCCGGUUUGCCGGAAUCGAAGCCGUAUUUUGAAGCGAUGAAGAAGGAGUCCACAGGAAACUCGGUAGUUUAAAAGACGCUUAAGUUUAGCAAAGUAACCCUGUGGAUUCUUCUCGAAAUCCUCCCUGACAAUUCGAAUUUCCCCUCCCGUACCCGGAGCUACCAUUGUCGCAGGCGAGCUAGCAUCAUUGCCCUUCUCAUUCUCGUGCAGUUGGGCAAAAUAAGCCUGUGGAUUCUUCUCGAAAUCCUCCCUGACAAUUCUAACUUCACCUCCGGUACCCGGAGCAACCAUUGUCUCAGGAGAGCUACCAUCAACGCCCUUUUUGACUCCUUUGCUGUCCAUCUUCAAGAUAUGUUGUUCUGCUUUCUGAUAUUAGAAAAGGUUAAAAUGAA